rnacentral:rRNA from 1 species
GUUUCCGUAGGUGAACCUGCGGAAGGAUCAUUACUGAAUUUAUGACAAGGUUGUAGCUGGCCCUAACCGGGGCAUGUGCACGCCUUGCUCAUUCCAAAUUCUACACCUCUGUGCACUUAACAUUGGGUUGGUUGCGGCUUGUCUCUCGGGGCGAGCUUGACCCGCCUGUGGUUCUCUACAAACACUUAUAGUAUUUAGAAUGUAAACCUGCGUAUAAUAACGCAUCUUAUACAACUUUCAGCAACGGAUCUCUUGGCUCUCGCAUCGAUGAAGAACGCAGCGAAAUGCGAUAAGUAAUGUGAAUUGCAGAAUUCAGUGAAUCAUCGAAUCUUUGAACGCACCUUGCGCUCCUUGGUAUUCCGAGGAGCAUGCCUGUUUGAGUGUCAUGGUAUUCUCAAUUCCCUAAAUCUUUGCGGAUUUGGGUGAAUUGGAUGUGGAGGGUGAUUGCUGGCGUGCGUUUUUUAAAUGGCGUGCCGGCUCCUCUGAAAUGAAUUAGCGGGAAUGUUGCCGUGUCAACCUCAGUGUGAUAAUUAUCUGCGCUGUUGUUGCUCAGCAAAAAUAUAUGUUCUCGCUUCGAAUCGUCUUUGGACAAUUUCUUGACAAUCUGACCUCAAAUCAGGUAGGACUACCCGCUGAACUUAAGCAUAUCAAUAAGCGGAGGAAAGANACNAANCUNAUACAAGGAUUCCCCUAGUAACUGCGAGNGAANNNGGNAAA